rnacentral:rRNA from 1 species
GACGAACGCUGGCGGCGUGCUUAACACAUGCAAGUCGAACGCUGAAGCCCAGCUUUUGUUGGGUGGAUGAGUGGCGAACGGGUGAGUAACACGUGAGUAACCUGCCCCCUUCUUUGGGAUAACGCCCGGAAACGGGUGCUAAUACUGGAUAUUCACUGGUCUUCGCAUGGGGGUUGGUGGAAAGGGUUUUUCUGGUGGGGGAUGGGCUCGCGGCCUAUCAGCUUGUUGGUGGGGUGAUGGCCUACCAAGGCUUUGACGGGUAGCCGGCCUGAGAGUGUGACCGGUCACAUUGGGACUGAGAUACGGCCCAGACUCCUACGGGAGGCAGCAGUGGGGAAUAUUGCACAAUGGGCGCAAGCCUGAUGCAGCGACGCCGCGUGAGGGAUGGAGGCCUUCGGGUUGUGAACCUCUUUCGCUCAUGGUCAAGCCGCAACAAUGGUUGUGGUGAGGGUAGUGGGUAAAGAAGCGCCGGCUAACUACGUG